UGAAAAUAACCAAAUGGGACCUUAGC
rnacentral:piRNA from 1 species